CACCUGCCACAGCAUGGCUUGCCAAGCGGUGCCAUGUCUGCACUCGGAAUCUGAACCCCUGGCCGCCGAAGCGGAACAUGUGAACUUAACCGCUGCACCACUGGGCCGGCCCCAGGAACAGGGGAUUUUGUGUAUUCUAUUCACUACUUUAUCUCAAGUGUCCAGAACAGUGCUGGGCCUAUAAUGGGUGCUAAAUAAAUACCUAACAAGUGAAUGUUUUUGUUUAAGAGAACCUGAGAUCACAUAGAACAAGCAACUUAUUUUACAGCUGAGGAAAGGGAGGUGAGUGACAUGUUCAUUCCAUAGCAAGUCAGUGGGUGGAGCUGGGCUGAACUGGACAGGUGUCCUGGAGACUCCUGGUGCCUGCCCUGGAGGCCCUUUUGAAGGAAGUAGCCGUAGGCUGUUUGUUCCAUGAACUCAUCAUGCUUUGCAUUGUGUGUGAUGGUUGUGUUUUCCCAUCUAGCAUCCACUCCCCCCAUUCUCUGAGAGUAGUAUUUUGAUUUUCCAUGGAGGAAUAACUCAUCGUCCUCUUGGUUGACGCAGUUUCCGUGGAACUGGCUCGAUGGAGGUGGACACAUGGCUCAGGUCUGACCAAUCAGAGCAUUGCUUUCUCUUGGUCACAGUUGGGUCCAGAGAGAAGGUACAUGACUCAAGCAAAGCCAAUGAAACUCCCUUCUGGGAUUUUGCUGAAAGUAUUAAGGAGAAAUUCUCAGCAGGGUUUCUAAGCUGGUGGAAUGCAGGCUUGGAACUGCCGAUGGCCAUCUUUGCCACUACUUGGGAAGAGCCAGCCUGAGAAUGAAGACGAGACAGAGAGAAGCAGAGCCUAGAGAUGUGGCCUGACCUUUAGACGCUCAUGUUUCUGCCUCCGCCAUGGGGAGUCGGGCCCUCUGGGGGAGGUCUGCAGUAGCCCAGCCUGUGACGGAAAAUUUGGAGAGCCACGAGGACUGACAUCUGGGGGCUGAAAUAACACUUGGAGAUCAGGUUUCCAGUGUGAUCAGGGCUCCAGGCUUAAAGAUUGUUCUGAUCUUCAUUCGUGGUCAUAAGCAGGACCCGGGGAGGGGCUGAUCUCUUGACUGCAGUUGGCUUGUCACACGCUGGUAAGGCUCACCCCACCACUGGGAUCUCAAGUUGGCUCUCAUUUGUUAAUUGCAUAAGCCUUGAUCAUUGAUUGCUAUGGAUUUGGGGAGCCCAGACUCUGACUUUACUCACAGAAUAGGGGUAUAUUUUAUUAAUGAAAAUGAAUGAAAAGAACAAGGUCUUUAUUAUAUAAGAAAUAUGCUUCUUUGUGGGUUGAGGUAGAGAAAGCUGAUGAAAACCUAAAAACUAAGAAGGCAGUUAAUGAAGCUUAUGCCUAAAAGGCUUUGUCUUUGGGAAACAAGUUUGCUCAGGAAAUUAAGGAGGAACUAGAUUUUUUUUUUUAAAGAUUUUAUUUCCUUUUUCAAAAUUUUUUUAUUAAGAUUUUACUUUUCCUUUUUCUCCCCAAA